rnacentral:lncRNA from 1 species
AUUAAAAGAAUUUGUGACAGAGAUCGCAGGACAGAGUGGGCAUGAUUCUACGCAAAAGCACAUAUGCUGUGGAUUCACAUCCCACUCCUUCACCCAUGCGGAAGACAGCUCCCAUCUAUCUACCUGUUUAAGCCGGCAUGAGGAAAAGCUGUCUACACAAAGAGUACAGUACUUCUAGUUGCUAAAUGAAUGGAGUGCAGGACAGCAGUUCUGCCCCAGCAAGCAGGGGAAGGCAAGUCAUGGUCCUCAUCAGGUUAACUCAGAUGAGCCAAAUAAAAAGAAUAAAGAAAAGAAUGUUCAGUCCUUUUUCUUAAGGAGAUGACUACCAUUGUACGUAAGCUCCCUGGACGCUCAACAUGUUCUUGCAGUCAAAGUUGCCAGGGAAGAAGGAUGAGUUCCUGGAGGACAAACAAUGGGGGAAGGGACAGAUUGCUGUCAAGAACUUUAGAAGGAGAAGCAGAUAAAAGGCAAGGUAUUUGUAUAGAGGCUGGCCACCUUUCAAGAGAUCCGAUGUGUGGUGUAAUGGAUGUGGCUGUCUGCGGAAGUAUUUAUCCUGUCACUCUCCAAUUUAUAUUCAACUUGCACAUUUGUAAAUAAACAGUUCUUGUUGUUCCUGCUGAUGUUGGUGUUAUACAGUAUCCUGUCAGGUUGGAUCCAACGUAUAGUUCUCCUAAUAGGGAUUUCAACACGAGAUAUUUAAGGAGUGGUUUUACCAUGUCCGCUCCCCCAGUCACUUUCCGAGGAUUGGAAUCCUGGUCUUCCGAGUCCUAGUCCAUCAUUCUGUAC